CUAUUAGAUGGAAGAAAAUGCUCACAUAUGAGAGAAUUAUGGGCAAAGACAGACGAAUUAUUGGGAUUUUACUGCAAUUGGAUGUUUCACUUUGGUAGUUUUCUGUUUGGGUCUGCGUUGCUUUCAGGACUUAUUCCCAAAAAACCCAGUGCCUUUCUUGUCCUUGUUAGUACAGUGUAGCCUUCAUCAUAUCCCAAUUAUUACUCUCCCCAACAGAGACUCAAAACAAGCUUGUGACAGAAGCGAAAGGCACAAAUUGCGCAAACAAUUAUCUAUAGCCAUCUUUAGCAAGAGUCAUCACUGCCUCACUAUGGCAUUUGGUGAUGACACAUCUCUGCAAGAUGAUUUUUCUGAUCUCUCUCUCUCUCUCUCUCUCUCUCUCUGAAUAUCUAAGUUGAAGAUCACUAAUUCUGGUUAUGCCAUUUUGUAUAUCUUUCUUUAAUUUCCUUGCCGAGGAAUGUUAGUGAGCUGAAACUGGGCUCGGGACUUUGUCGUUGUAGACAAAAAGGGAAAAGAGCAGGUAACGUCAGCUUCAUAUUCGUUGCAUGUGCUUUUUGCUCUCCUACUGAGAUUUUUUCUCUAGUUCUUUUUGGACUUGCGGUUUGGCAAUGCUCUAUGUGAUCCGUGACUUGACAAAACAACAAGAAAAGUUUGCUUGCCUUGGCAAUAACUGUCGUCAUCGUCACAUGAAGAGCUCUGAGUUUUGCAAUAUCUCAGGAUUUUAGCCUCGGCUUUGUUGGUAGAAAAUGGUUGAGAUAAGAAUAAGGUAAGAACAUCAAGAAGAAGAAAUUACGUUUUCAUGAUUUGGCCGGACGGUGAAAGAUAAUAGAGAAGGAAAAUGUUCUCUCGGUUAGAAGGAAAAUAGAACUAGGACAAGACGUGUCUUGGAAAUGGAUAACAACAGUCAGGGCACGAGGGUGUGAAUUUGAAUCUGAUUGCUUCAUCUUCAUAGUAACAGGUGAAGAUACUCUAAAACUUUGGUACAAUGGAUGCUUCUCAGUUGCCUUCUUCAGUUUCCGCUCCUCAGGAAGCUUCGCAUUAUGAUGAGCUCUCCAUGAAACAGAGCUUGAACUUUUCAGAUAGUCUGAAGGGUGAAAAGGUUUGGAUUUGUCAUGCAUGCUAAUUGUCGUCUUUUUCACUAAUCAGGACCUGAAAGAUCUUAGGAAGCAGUUAUACUCGGCAGCUGAUUCUUUUGAAUUGUCUUACAAUAGACACGAUCAAAAACAAACGGUGGUGAAGACACUGAGAGAUUAUGCAACGAAAGUUUUCAUCAACACUGUGGAUCACUUGGGCUCCAUGAUUUAUAAGGUCAAGUGUCUCCUGGAAGACAAGAUUGAGGAAGCAUCUGCAAUUGAGCUCAGAUUCUCUUGUGUUCGACAGAGACUACGAAUGUGUGAGAUGUUCAUAGACCGUGGAGGCCUAUCUCAGCGGUCACUAGUGAUAAGAACUCCAAAGCACCACAUGCGAUAUAUCUUACCAGGCACGCUUCCCUUUACAAGAUUUGUCAUCGGUUUAUUAAGACCAAGAGUUAGGAAUAGGCUCAUGCUUAAGAACUUUCUUUCAGUUUCAACAGCUAAAGACGGUGGAGCCAGCAAGAAUCUGCGAUACCACAUGACAAGUGGAGUAAAUGCCGAAAUGUCCGCAGGUGAACAUGGAGACGGCAUUCGGCUACACAGUUUCCACAAUCCUCCCCAGCCGGCACCUUUCCAUUUGCAAGCACUUCAUCCAACAAAAAACCAGAAAAACGCGCCUCCCCAUUUCAAUUUCAAUUCACAUGUUCAGGUUCUCUGGUCAAUAGAUCUACAUCUCCAAACCCUUCUAAUGCCAAAAGAUGAUACCCAUCGGAACCCCGAAGAUCCACUUCAAUGUCUACUCAUGUUGAGAGGAGCAGAAGAACAGAUAUCGAGGUAUAUUCCAGCAAAAACAAACGUCUCUUAAAGGCCUUGCUUAGCAUGCGGAAGUUGAGAAAGGACAACAAGUUAUACAAGUUCUUGGACGAUUACUAAGAAGAACAGGGGAUCAGACAACUGCAAAUGAACUUGGCACUAGAACUCUCCACAUAAAAACAAGAGCUCAACUGUACAGAUUUCUUGUGUGAUAGGCACAAGAUUCUUGCGCGCUCCAUCCAGAUUAUUGACAGUAGCAAUAUAGUUGAUUGUGCAAUGGAUAUGGUUCAAAAUCCAAGAUCAAAACUUGGACACUCAGCCUUCAAUUUCAAUGGAUCUCCAUCUCCUUCAGGGGUCAUCCUUUCAUCAUUAGCAUAGCCAUGAGAACCACGUGAAAGAGAUGCUUCGGAAACAAAAUUGUUGCUGCAGCAUUUGGGGUCAGCUUGUUCACGAGAAGGCUGAAAAUGUUAAUUGCAGCAGAUGUACAUGCUAGUCAUACAAAAGCUCAGUGAAAUUGUGAAUGUCCUCAAGGUAAAUAAAGAACGAAAUUUUGGACUGGGA